CUUGAACGCUGGCGGCAGGCCUAACACAUGCAAGUCGAACAAGUGGCGGACGGGUGAGUAAUGUCUGGGAAACUGCCCGAUGGAGGGGGAUAACUACUGGAAACGGUAGCUAAUACCGCAUACCAUCGGAUGUGCCCCGCUGGGAUUGGCUAGGAGGUGGGGUAACGGCUCACCUAGGCGACGAUCCCUAGCUGGUCUGAGAGGAUGACCAGCCACACUGGAAAGGAGACACGGUCCAGGCUCCUACGGGAGGCAGCAGUGGUGAAUAUUGAACAAUGGGCGCAAGCCUGAUGCAGCCAUGCCGCGUGUAUGUAGAAGGCCUUCGGGUUGUAAAGUACUUUCAGCGGGGAGGCGUUACCCGCAGAAGAAGCACCGGCUAACUACGUGCCAGCCGCCGCGGUAAUUC
rnacentral:rRNA from 1 species